rnacentral:rRNA from 1 species
GAUGAACGCUGGCGGCGUGCCUAAUACAUGCAAGUCGAGCGAACGGACGAGAAGCUUGCUUCUCUGAUGUUAGCGGCGGACGGGUGAGUAACACGUGGAUAACCUAUCUAUAAGACUGGGAUAACUUCGGGAAACCGUAGCUAAUACCGGAUAAUAUUUUGAACCGCAUGGUUCAAAAGUGAAAGACGGUCUUGCUGUCACUUAUAGAUGGAUCCGCGCUGCAUUAGCUAGUUGGUAAGGUAACGGCUUACCAAGGCAACGAUGCAUAGCCGACCUGAGAGGGUGGAGGACACAAGUGGAACGAGAACGCGCCCAAGACUCCACGGGGGGGAGGCAGAGGGAAUUCUUCGAAAAUGGGGAAAAGCCGGAGGGCACACCGCCGGGGGAGUGAGGAAGGUCUUCGUAUCGAAAACCUGUUUUAUGGGGAAAAAAAAUAUGGUAAAGAAACGGUGCACAUUUGGAGGUUCCAUAACAAAAAGACCACGCCAAACCACGCC